UUCAUUUUAAAAACUGCUAGAGUUGAGUUAGGCUGUAUUUACACUCAACCUACAGCUGUGUUCAGAAGUGAUCUGAUCUGAAGAUUUAUUUACAGCCGUAUAGAUUUAUAUUAAUGGGAAAAUUUGUGGAGCUUUGUCCUACUAAAGCUCUAUGUCGUCGUUCGGUUAUCGUUUAAUUAUAUUACAGGUAGAGCUAUUAGUUUUAGUUAAUAUUGUCACACGUUUAAUAAAAUGAUAGUAACAUAGAUAGAUAACGAAAUAACUCGUUGGAUGAUAAUAAAAUACCAAAUUGACGUGUAGGAGAACACUAGGUUGGCUUGGUCUAUCUUUUGUACUCGAAACAAUUGGAAUACCGAAGGUUUAUUGUGUCCAACCUGGAAGGGUAUUGUAAUAUAUCUUUAUUGGAAUUGCGACAUUAACAAUCAGAUAAAGUAUGGCAAGCGCACUCCGAAACAGAUGGGUCUAUACACUUAGGAAGGGAGAUCUAAUCUCACCGAAUUUCAGCUGGGUUCCAGUAGAAAAGUUGCGGCCGCCGGAGUUUCAAAUCCUGGGAUACCCACACCUACGUGUAAUGAAAUUAAAAUACAAGGACAAUCAUUCGACGAGAUCGUCGGACAAUUUGCCAAUAUGACGGCGAGUUUGCAAAGAGGGAAAUCUGAAAGGCUAUCAUCAGCCGAUAUUACUGCCGCUGAAUUAGUUUCAUAAACAAAACUACAGUUAAAUAGCCGAUUAAUGCAACUAUAUACAUGCCAUGGGGCCCUAAUUAUUGAAUAUGGCUUCUGAGGACAAUACGGGACGUUGGGUCCCUUACAGUUUAUUGAACCGAAACAUUUUACCUAGCGUAGUGGUCAUUGUAACAUGUGAUUUUAACUUAGAAAUUUUAGUUUGCUAAGAAUACAAAUCUGCGUGACCAAAAUUAUAAAGUUCACGCACGCAGAGAAAUUCUUUUGACAUAGCUUUGAUUUUUCUGCUAUGUAAUGUUUUCCGGUAGGAGAAAUGAGAGAGUAGAAGAGGCGAAAAAAGAAAGAGGAAGAGUAAGAACUUUGGUUAAAGAGGUUCUAACGUCUCAAUCGAAAAGAAGAAUAAGAAAAAAAAUUCAUAUAUAAUUCAUAUUUCGGAGGUACAAUGAAUAAUAUAUCCAGAAAAAGAAAAAAAACUCUGAAAGCAGCACAGCAUUAAUAGACGGAGAACCAAUUAUGAAGUAUUUAAAAUGUAAGGUAAAUUAAGGUCCAGAAUAUGGUGGCUCUAAAGAAAGAAAAAGAAAAAUAGCGGACGUUUUUGCGAAAAGAAAAAAAAGAAAAGACCGAACAAAGAUAAAGUAUAUGUAAAGUAUAUACAAAGUAAAUUACGUACAAAAAGGUAAAUAUAUAUAUGUGAACAUCUCGACGUAGUGGAGAAACAGAUCCGCAACUCCAGAAUAACAACAGCUAAUAAAUGAGCUGUACACGUUAAGCGGGUGUAAAAGUUUCCCAAAAAACGAAAUAUAGUUCCUUCUUGCGUACUGUGAGCAGCCAAAGUCGUCUCUUCUUUUGCCCUCACAGGUUCUUCGUCUCUAAGGGUGGUGUGCUAGGCUAAGUUAGGUUAAGAGCAGGAUUAAGUAAACUACUAGACAGGCGACAGGUAGAUAAGGGAACCCCAGUCAGAAACAGACGUUUCUGGUUGAGAUAAAGUAAGGUUGCCAAAAGCCAACCUUGACAGGAGCCGUAAAAGAGCUGGCUCCAAAUAGUCCGUGUCGAGGGACACACUGGUCCGGCCGAGUAGGGAAGUUAGAAUGAGGGUAGACACACGACGGCAACAGAUUAACUGAACAAAAUAUCAAAAACGUAUUAUUAAACAAGAAGAGGGAGAACGCUCUGAAUGGACGAACUAUUGUGUUGUAAGCAAAGUAAAAAAAAUGAAUAAACAAAGUGAAAACUUCCGAAAGUCAAACUAUUCUUUAACCAUUCAAAGAAAACAUAAAAUUCAUGUGAGUCAAAGACUUGUGCCGCUGAGCUUACCCCAGCAUCAGGAAAUGGACUAAAGCCCUCACAGUACAUACACAGAUAAAUUCCAUGGUACUUUCAAACGCGUUCAUAAGUAACAGCGUCGUCAAAUUAUAUGCAAUAAAUUCGGCGAAUAGGCAAGGCGAGUAUAGAAAAACCCAGGUGCACAAGGGACGCCUGUUCAGUAGGUUAGAUUGCGUCCGUCCGUGUGUUUGUUAAAAACUAUGCACGUGCUGUUAUAUGUCGUGAAAUAUUUAAGGACCUUGUUGGCGCUUCUGGCUCUAAUGGGCCAUAUGUGGUGUACAGAGCCACAAAAAUGAAAACGGAUCUGCAGUAACAUCUUCCUUCAUGUCUUCGUACGUAUUAUUUAUAUAUAUAAAGGUAUUAUGUGUACAUAUAUAUUAUGAGGAACCAAAGUCGUAACUCGUUUUGGCCUCACAGGUUCUUCGUCUCUGAGGGGGAGUGCUAGAGUAAGUUAAGCUAAGAACUUAAGCAAAGAGAAAUUAGAGUGAAGAGAAAUCAUAAGAAGUUGAGAAUAAUUAGUUUAAGACAAAUUUUAGUCAGUGCUAAAAUAAGUUAGAGAAAGUGAGUUGGUCGCGGGGUGAGUUAAAGAGCGGACGAUUUGGCCUCAUUGAUGCGGUUACAAGGAAGUCGGUGCUAUGUCUUGAGAUUAAGAAAAGUGAACCGAUAUUUUAAGUAGAGAAAAGGAAAAAUUGUAAAUGUCGAGGAAGAAAUACUGAAACAUAUUUUAAAGAAAUAUAAAAAUUCUUAUAUAAAUUCUAAUUGAGAAAAACCAAGUUUUUAUCAAAAGCAAAAGAAAGCUGCAAGAAUUUUAUGUUUCUGCAGCGAUGAUCAACAGGAGACAGAUACGUAGAAAACGCAAGGUAAACGAAGAAAUUUCCCCUAGUUUCCCGAAUUGGCUGACAGCUUGAAGAGCGUGUCGAUGCCGAAUCAGCGGUAGUCGCUAGGCAACAACCCCGGAACCAAAUACGAACGCCCCAACACGAGCGACAUAGAAUGCUAUGGGUAACUAGCGACAGCGGCAGAUCAGAUCCACUUGAUAUGCCUGACUUGUUCUAUCCAAAUUAUAUCCGCUGGAGCAUCACGACCGAGCACAUAACUAGAAAAUCUAUUGUUAUUCCGUCCAACUCGUAAUUGUUAGCUCCGUCGUAGUAUUCAUUGCUAUGAUUAUCCUCAUCCGGUGACAUCUGCACAUCUUCCCAUAAUAUGUCGUCCUCACUGCCAAACUCUUCGAUGUGCCGCAUGUGAGCAAGAGGGUCGUUUGACGCAUAAGGUCACCUGCAGUGUAUGUAUGAUUAUCUUCGCCUAACCAUUUACGAUUUCCUUCAUCGGCAUAUUGACAGAAACGUUUAAAGAGUGAAGUGGACGCAACCUGGACUAAUGACAAGAUCCAAGUUUAUUUGCUGCAUUCUGUAUGAAAGGCAUCCAAUGACACUGAAACGAAUCGAACACCGACAUGAAGAGCGGCUUUCGUGCACCACUUAGGGGAUGGCCCCAAAUGUAUUACGACCAA